CAAUUAAGCGGAGGAAAAGAAACCCACCGGGAUUGCCUCAGUAACGGCGAGUGAAGCGGCAAGAGCUCAAAUUUGAAAUCUGGCCCCCCCGGGGUCCGAGUUGUAAUUUGGAGAGGAUGCUUCGGGCGCCGUUCCCGUCUAAGUGCCCCUGGAACGGGCUGUCGCAGAGGGUGAGAACCCCGUCUGGGACGGGCGACGGCGCCCGUGUGAAGCUCCUUCGACGAGUCGAGUUGUUUGGGAAUGCAGCUCUAAGCGGGUGGUAAAUUUCAUCUAAAGCUAAAUACUGGCCGGAGACCGAUAGCGCACAAGUAGAGUGAUCGAAAGAUGAAAAGCACUUUGAAAAGAGAGUCAAACAGCACGUGAAAUUGUUGAAAGGGAAGCGUUGGCCCCCAGACGCGCCCGGGAGGGCUCAGCCGGCACGUGUGCCGGUGUACUCUCUCCCGGGCGGGCCAGCAUCGGUUUGGGCGGUCGCUGAAAGGCCCCGGGAAUGUAGCACCCUCCGGGGUGCCUUAUAGCCCGGGGCGGCAUGCGGCCCGCCGGGACCGAGGCCCGCGCUUCGGCGAGGAUGCUGGCGUAAUGGGGGUUAACGGCCCGUCUUGAAAACC
rnacentral:rRNA from 1 species